UCUGUGGCGCUGUGGAAUCGGAAAGAAGCAGGCGGCAACUUUCCGGCCUGAGGGACACGAAUUUCGUAGGAGGAUGGGAAUUAUUGGACAAGUUUUCAAUAACUAAACAAAGUUCUUUUUGCGAAGGUGAUACGGAGUGAAUGAAGCAGAUGGUGGAAAUGACCAAAGU
rnacentral:ncRNA from 1 species